rnacentral:rRNA from 1 species
UGAGGGAAUAUUUGGGUCAAUGGGCGGAAGCCUGAACCAGCCAUGCCGCGUGAAGGACUAAGGCCCUAUGGGUCGUAAACUUCUUUAGACGCAGAGCAAUAAGGGUCUCGCGAGAUCCGAUGAGAGUAUGCGUAGAAUAAGCAUCGGCUAACUCCGUGCCAGCAGCCGCGGUAAUACGGGGGAUGCGAGCGUUAUCCGGAUUUAUUGGGUUUAAAGGGUGCGCAGGCGGCGCGCCAAGUCAGCGGUCAAAGUUCCGGGCUCAACCCGGUGUCGCCGUUGAAACUGGCGUGCUCGAGUGCGUGCGAGGAAGGCGGAAUGCGUUGUGUAGCGGUGAAAUGCAUAGAUAUGACGCAGAACUCCGAC